UAGGUGAGAAAUAUGAAUCUUUAAAAUACCUCUGUCAGGAUUUUAGUUUUUUUUUUCACCCCCAAGUAAAUUAUCAACCAUCUCCUGACAUCAAAGCAGCUUUCAUCACAUUAUCAUUCUCCGAGGCGCACACAUCUUGAAAGCCUUUCGGUAAAUACUUGAUUAAUAUUGCGUCCAUCAGUGUGAGGAUCAGCAACUCUUUGAACGCUGAGAGAGAGAGGAGGGCAGACAUGAAAACAGGAAUGUUUCAUCGGCAUCAGCUAGUGUAUAAUUGGCUCGUAAAAGUCUAAUUAGUCUUACAACCUGCAGGAAGCCAUUGAACACAAACAAAAUUAUACUAUGCAAUGCACUAGCUGAUGGGCAAAGUUGGUUUCCAUCAGCAUCUGUCAAUCAUGUAUGCUUCAGUUCGCUCAAAGCAAAUUGUAUUUGACAAGGGAAAUCAAAUGUUUAAUCUUCCCUGCCAUUGUUUAUCCUCCUCUUCUGGUCUUUCAUAUUUGUUUAGUAUUUUUAAUAUUUAAAGCGUGUUAUUUAUUCCUCUACGCCAUAUUUGCUAGUUUGUGAGUGGUACACUGACUGUAUAUUCUGUAAGUGGGUUUGUUUUAAAUAAAAAACUACCUGGGAAGUUUGUAAUUCCAGUCAGGUAACGAGGAUCAUUAUAAACAUACCCUCAUGUAUGAUGACUACGCGCCAUGUCUGUUGGUUGCCAAGGCAGCGGCGUGUUCUGCCAGCCGCGCGCUCACCUUGAAUGAAUGGAGGACCUGUGAGAUUCGCGUAACAGCCUUUAAAGGCGGCGGAAGGAGGGUGGAGUGGAAGUGCGUCAAUCACCAAGUGCCGGUACACGCCCACGGCAACGAGCGUUGUUUGUAUACGGGCCUGGAUACAGAAAUACUGGAGCUGCCUCUUUCCCAGAAUGUGUGAAUACAGAACUCACACAUAGGCACAAUUUUAUUUAACCCUAUAUGCUGAAAAGACCAACAUGCUGGUUAGUGGUGGACUAGCAUAGCUUUGAACCCAGAAACUGCCAGGUAAGAGGGACACCAGCUUUCAAAACACAACAUAUGCUGAAGGGAAGACUUAAAAGGCUUUUAUAGAACAUAAGGCAUAUAGUCUGGACUGAAAGCAAACGGUGAGUCAUAGGUGUGUCUGAAUAUAUGCACAACCACAUUGUCAUGAGGCAUGAGUCACACACAUACAAUAAUAAUGUGUGAGAAUUAUGCUUUUGCAGGUGGUGUUCAGGGCAUAAACUUGACAGCAUCAAAAUGUCCUGUUUGAAAUAUAUCCUUACCUAGCACAGCUAUGAGUCAUCCUCCACCAACACUGAUAAAUCUGUGCAAUGAACAUUCUGUAAAAGUUGCAAUGUCCUUGCUUUUUCCAAGAAAUGGCACAAUAGCAGGAAUCGCUAGUGAUUUAAUGAUUUUCCGGAUAUAAAAUGUGAGUCAGUGUCAUGAGUCUGAUGCUCAGAUAUGCUCAUAAAUUUCAUUCUCAAAAUGUUAUGUAACCCAAGUUUUCAAUGUGAAUGAAGAUAUAUGCUUGUGUUUGUAUGCUAGCAUGGCAUAGUCUCUUACUGUGCAACCAACAAAGCCAGUAACCACCGGCCGUCCACCCCCACACUGAGCUUGUAAACAAAAUAACAGCUCACGCCUUACAAGCUGCAAAAUGUGAGUUUACACAAAUGUCAGCCAAAAUCCUACCAAAUGCAUUGUUUCAUUGUUUAUAUAUAUAUAUAUGUAUAUAUUUAUAUAUAUAUAUAUAUUUAUAUAUAUAUAUAUACACACACACACACAUACACACACACACACACACAUAGAUAGAUAGAUAUUCAUACACACACACACACACACAUAUAUAUAUAUAUAUGAAUUUCAUUUAUAUAGACAGUCAACAUGCUGAUCAAGCUUGCUGGAAACGCAAGACGUCAGACAGAUUCCGAGGUGUAUGCAAUUACUGCCCUCCACUGGUCAAAUAACUAAUUGCAAUUAAAACAAUAGAUUUCUGAUAUCUACAAUGGCAGCCCCUUGACCAUCAUUGUUAUACAACGCCUGAGGUUUUUUAGCGGUUCUGGUAAUUGAAGUUAUAUUUUUAGCAUUGUUUUAAGAUAUGUAAACAUGCCGUAUCAUAUGUUGACCGUGCUGAGUGGAGGAGGAGGGCUUGUUCGAGAGAUGGAAAGUUGUGGUGAGGUGCAGGAAGCGCAUGUGUGGGUGUUUGAAGAGGAGGACAGUUCUCAAGGUCCCGAGGCUACGAUAUUUAUAACCCUCCUGGUUCACCCUUGCUCAUGCUUGCUUUCUCUUUCCCCGUAGAUGAAGAAGCGUCUUAAUCCAGGUCACUGCACAAUUCUGAGAGAUGCUAUUUUUAGCUUUCUGCAUGAGUGGAUAUGGUGCAUUUGUAGCCUACCACAGAUUUGCACAUUUUCCAUGACCGUGCGAAACCUGACAUAACUUGGGUGUUUAAUAUAGCUUAUAGCUUUAUUGUUGCACUCCUUUGUUUGUUUGCAGUGUUUAGUUUCCAAUAGAAUGCCGGUUCACUUGAGUCAAUGCAUCCUGAUUUGAUUGUCCUACAUUAACACAUCUAAAAGUAGCCUACUAUUGUCCUGCAGAGAGAACCAUGAUUAGCAUCUCUCCACAAUCAUCCUGCUAAUCUGCAUCCAGCUGUUCCUGGGUGGGGUCAUCGCCGCCCCACAGGGGUCCUCAGUCUGCCACAUUGUUUAAAGUGCUAAAGAGGAGCAUAAUAGAUGGGUGAUUGUGAUGUAGGCACAAUUAUAUUCUUUGGUGAGCCAUUAAUGAGUAAUACCAAUGCCAGUAUCUUAUUUGUAGAAUCUUUGCGGAUUUUGGCAGUAAAAAAAUGCAUUUAAUGCUAACUAAAUUUCACUAUUUUCAGUUUUAGAAUUAAAUACUAAUCACAUUUUUUUGAGAUUGUAUUUUAAUUAAAGCAGUGAGCAGAAUUGGUUGAACCAUUUUUAACUUCUCAAGUGUUUACACAAACAUGCAAAUGCUUGUUUUUCUUUUUUUCAUUUCCUCUUUUUUUUUUUUUUUUUACUAAGAAACAACCAUGUUUCAUAUUCAUUGUACUCCUUUUACCAAUAAAAAUAUAAGUUUUGGUCA
ensembl:lncRNA